UAUCGGAUUGGUACUAAGCCAUGCGAGUCGUUGUAGCAAUACAAGGCAGACGGCUCAGUAACGCGUAGUCAAUCUACCCUAUGGACGGAGAUAAUCUCGGGAAACUGAGAAUAAUAUCCGAUAGAACAUUAUGCCUGGAAUGGUUUAUGUUUCAAAUGAUUUAUCGCCAUAGGAUGGGACUGCGUCCUAUCAGUUUGUUGGUGAGGUAAUGGCCCACCAAGACUAUUACAGGUACGGGCUCUGAGAGGAGUAGCCCGGAGAUGGGUACUGAGACACGGACCCAGGCCCUAUGGGGCGCAGCAGGCGAGAAAACUUUGCAAUGUGCGAAAGCACGACAAGGUUAAUCCGAGUGGUUUCUGCUAAAGAAACCUUUUGUCAGUCCUAGAAACACUAACGAA
rnacentral:rRNA from 1 species